GACGAACGCUGGCGGCGUGCCUAAUACAUGCAAGUUGAGCGAUGAAGAUUGGUGCUUGCACCAAUUUGAAGAGCAGCGAACGGGUGAGUAACGCGUGGGGAAUCUGCCUUUGAGCGGGGGACAACAUUUGGAAACGAAUGCUAAUACCGCAUAACAACUUUAAACAUAAGUUUUAAGUUUGAAAGAUGCAAUUGCAUCACUCAAAGAUGAUCCCGCGUUGUAUUAGCUAGUUGGUGAGGUAAAGGCUCACCAAGGCGAUGAUACAUAGCCGACCUGAGAGGGGGAUCGGCCACAUUGGGACUGAGACACGGCCCAAACUCCUACGGGAGGCAGCAGUAGGGAAUCUUCGGCAAUGGACGAAAGUCUGACCGAGCAACGCCGCGUGAGUGAAGAAGGUUUUCGGAUCGUAAAACUCGGUUGGUAGAGAAGAACGUUGGUGAGAGUGGAAAGCUCAUCAAGUGACGGUAACUACCCAGAAAGGGACGGCUAACUACGUG
rnacentral:rRNA from 1 species